rnacentral:rRNA from 1 species
AGAGUUUGAUCCUGGCUCAGAACGAACGCUGGCGGCGUGCUUAACACAUGCAAGUCAGGGAGAAAGUCUCUUCGGGGAUGAUUAAACCGGCGCACGGGUGAGUAACACGUGAGUGACCUGCCUUUUAGACUGGAACAACUUACCGAAAGGUGAGCUAAUGCCGGAUGAGUUAUAUAAGUGCAUGUUUAUAUAGGAAAAGUUGGGGAGACCUGACGCUGAAAGAUGGACUCGCGUCCCAUUAGCUAGUUGGUAGGGUAAUGGCCUACCAAGGCGACGAUGGGUAGCCGGCCUGAGAGGGUGGCCGGCCACACUGGGACUGAGACACGGCCCAGACUCCUACGGGAGGCAGCAGUGGGGAAUUUUGCGCAAUGCUCGUAAGAGUGACGCAGCGACGCCGCGUGAAUGACGAAGGCCUUCGGGUCGUAAAGUUCUUUCGACAGGGAAGAAAAUGCCUAUAAGUAACUGUGUAUGUAUUGACGGUACCUGUAUAAGCAGCCCCGGCUAACUCCGUGCCAGCAGCCGCGGUAAUACGGAGGGGGCGAGCGUUGUUCGGAGUGACUGGGCGUAAAGAGCACGUAGGCGGUGUUGUAAGUCAUUAGUCAAAGACUAGAGCUCAACUUUAGUAAGGCUAGUGAUACUAUAAUACUAGAGUAUCAGAGAGGAUUGCAGAAUUCCUGGUGUAGCGGUGAAAUGCGUAGAUAUCAGGAGGAAUACCGUUAGCGAAGGCGGCAAUCUGGCUGGAAACUGACGCUGAGGUGCGAAAGCGUGGGUAGCAAACAGGAUUAGAUACCCUGGUAGUCCACGCU